CUACGGGUCGCUGCAGUGGGGAAUAUUGCACAAUGGAGGAAACUCUGAUGCAGCAACGCCGCGUGGAGGAUGACACUUUUCGGAGCGUAAACUCCUUUUAUAUAGGAAGAAGAUGACGGUACUAUAUGAAUAAGCGCCGGCUAACUCCGUGCCAGCAGCCGCGGUAAUACGGAGGGCGCAAGCGUUACUCGGAAUCACUGGGCGUAAAGAGCAUGUAGGCGGAUUAAAAAGUCAGAAGUGAAAUCCUAUAGCUUAACUAUAGAGCUGCUUCUGAAACUCUUAAUCUAGAAUAUGGGAGAGGUAGAUGGAAUUUCUGGUGUAGGGGUAAAAUCCGUAGAGAUCAGAAGGAAUACCGAUUGCGAAGGCGAUCUACUAGAACAUUAUUGACGCUGAGACGCGAAAGCGUGGGGAGCAAACAGGAUUAGAUACCCUGGUAGUC
rnacentral:rRNA from 1 species